AGCGAACGCUGGCGGCAGGCUUAACACAUGCAAGUCGAGCGCCCCGCAAGGGGAGCGGCAGACGGGUGAGUAACACGUGGGAACGUACCUUUUGGUUCGGAACAACCCAGGGAAACUUGGGCUAAUACCGGAUAAGCCCUUACGGGGAAAGAUUUAUCGCCAAAAGAUCGGCCCGCGUCUGAUUAGCUAGUUGGUGGGGUAAUGGCCCACCAAGGCUACGAUCAGUAGCUGGUCUGAGAGGAUGAUCAGCCACAUUGGGACUGAGACACGGCCCGAACUCCUACGGGAGGCAGCAGUGGGGAAUAUUGGACAAUGGGGGAAACCCUGAUCCAGCCAUGCCGCGUGAGUGAUGAAGGCCUUAGGGUUGUAAAGCUCUUUUAGCAGGGAAGAUAAUGACGGUACCUGCAGAAAAAGCCCCGGCUAACUUCGUGCCAGCCGCCGCCGUAA
rnacentral:rRNA from 1 species